rnacentral:lncRNA from 1 species
GGAUCAUUAAAGUACACAUACCCUUUAACCCUGCUAUCUCCUUCUGAGGAAAUAAUCCAAAUGAAGGAAGCAAUGAUAUCCAUGAAAACAUCCUGUAGCGUUAUUCAUCACGGGAAAAACUGAGCAAGCAUGUAAGUGACUUACAUUAGGGUAAUGAUUACUAAAUGAUUCACUCACUGGAACACUAUUCAACAAUUAAGAAGAAAAAGAUGACCACUAUGGCCCACAAUGGAGAAUUGCUUGUGAAAAUUGAGAAGCCAAAGGGGCACGGUACAAAAAUUAGACCCGUGCCCGGAUACUCAGCAAACAUAUGACUUGCCCUGGAAGCACGGGAAGGAAAGAUGGGCAAAUAAAAACAGUUUCAUCUCCCAUGCCUAGCUGCUCCUCUGUCCACCAUCAGCUCCACUCUGGGACCAGACUACCAUGGCAGUCUUUCUGUGUGCACAGGGCAGGUCCCUGUGCCAGAGGGACACACAGACAAUGAUCUACCCAUUACUUCUUACAACUGGGGCUAGGCUCAUCUCAUGCUCCUUCUUGGGUUUCUAGGAUCUCACCGACUCCAAGCAGUAGUAGCCAACACUGAGCAGUUAUACAACUCAGUCCUUUCACUCUGCGGCUUUCUUUGCUGAAUCAAGCAAAAGAGAAUGCAUUUCUGUUCCAGGAAAUGGAUGGCGCCACAGAAAAGGGCCAGAGUAAAAUGGAUCUUUAUCAUUAGAGCUGCUCAAAGAUGGGGUGCUUGAGUGUUGUAUCUGCAAGUACACUAUCUGCAGAUUCAAUAAAUUCCCCAUGGAGAAUUUCCAGGGGAAAACCGUUUCUGUGCUGAACACCUACAUAUAUUCUUCCUUGUCAUUAUGCCCUAAACAAUGCAGUCUACUAUUUAGACAUAUUUACUUUUAAUUAGAAAUUACCUUUGAG